CUGACUGCUUGUAUCUCUAUGUCUCUGGGAAUUUUUCACGGCAUAGGUCCAUAGUGCUCAGUUCAUGGAGUUUGCAGAGGUGGAAAACCAUGAUGACUUUUAUACCAGUGAAGGUGGAUAUAUUCACACACAGGACCCAUGAGGGUUUUAUAUAAUAUAUGAUGUGGCUUUAAAGGACCUGAAGGAGCUUGAGCACCAGCUGCUCCUUGUGACCAGCCAAUAUAUUGAGAAAGAUAAAAGCCAUAUAACUUGUGGUCAGUUCAAAGGCAGCAACCUCCUUGGCUGGGCACAUUCCUCUGUGGAUCAAUUUGCAGUGCUGCUUGACCUCUGGACCUGUGAAACUGCUCUCUUGGAGAAAAAAUCUCAGAUAGAUGUCCAGAGGGAAUAUGUCCACAAGGUUUGGCGGGAAGGUCAGAGAGGUGGGAUCAGUGAAUUUGGAAUUCCUUAUAAUGUGAUUGCUAAACAACUUAUCUCUCUUAAUAAUAGCUGGUUAUAUAAGGCUUUUGCAAGGGAAAUGGGUUUUGGUGAGUUCCAUUUGUAUCUGAGGCCAGUGCACUUCAAAUUUGCAUCUUACAAGGAGAAAGCAGACCACAUCCCACCAAUAUUCAUUACAUCUCUCCUGGAAGAUGACAGCUGUGUUGACAGGUAGAAAGAACUAUUUUGUAUUUCACAGGACAUAAUCUCUUUAGAUUGGACAUGACCAGGUCUUCAGUCUGCCUGAGUUCAAAUAUAGGCCACAAAAACUUCAAUGCAUAAAACCUUUGAUUUUUGUUUUUCAACUCGGUGACUACAAAUAGACCCUAUCUCUGUGCAAGGAAAAGGCUAUUUAUUAUCUUCUCUUUUUUCCUGGGGAAGAUGUCUGAAAUGUGUAGAUUUUACAUUUGCUUUGGUUUAC
rnacentral:lncRNA from 1 species